CAUGCAAGUCGAACGAACUCUGGUAUUGAUUGGUGCUUGCAUCAUGAUUUACAUUUGAGUGAGUGGCGAACUGGUGAGUAACACGUGGGAAACCUGCCCAGAAGCGGGGGAUAACACCUGGAAACAGAUGCUAAUACCGCAUAACAACUUGGACCGCAUGGUCCGAGCUUGAAAGAUGGCUUCGGCUAUCACUUUUGGAUGGUCCCGCGGCGUAUUAGCUAGAUGGUGGGGUAACGGCUCACCAUGGCAAUGAUACGUAGCCGACCUGAGAGGGUAAUCGGCCACAUUGGGACUGAGACACGGCCCAAACUCCUACGGGAGGCAGCAGUAGGGAAUCUUCCACAAUGGACGAAAGUCUGAUGGAGCAACGCCGCGUGAGUGAAGAAGGGUUUCGGCUCGUAAAACUCUGUUGUUAAAGAAGAACAUAUCUGAGAGUAACUGUUCAGGUAUUGACGGUAUUUAACCAGAAAGCCACGGCUAACUACGUGCCAGCAGCCGCGGUAAUACGUAGGUGGCAAGCGUUGUCCGGAUUUAUUGGGCGUAAAGCGAGCGCAGGCGGUUUUUUAAGUCUGAUGUGAAAGCCUUCGGCUCAACCGAAGAAGUGCAUCGGAAACUGGGAAACUUGAGUGCAGAAGAGGACAGUGGAACUCCAUGUGUAGCGGUGAAAUGCGUAGAUAUAUGGAAGAACACCAGUGGCGAAGGCGGCUGUCUGGUCUGUAACUGACGCUGAGGCUCGAAAGUAUGGGUAGCAAACAGGAUUAGAUACCCUGGUAGUCCAUACCGUAAACGAUGAAUGCUAAGUGUUGGAGGGUUUCCGCCCUUCAGUGCUGCAGCUAACGCAUUAAGCAUUCCGCCUGGGGAGUACGGCCGCAAGGCUGAAACUCAAAGGAAUUGACGGGGGCCCGCACAAGCGGUGGAGCAUGUGGUUUAAUUCGAAGCUACGCGAAGAACCUUACCAGGUCUUGACAUACUAUGCAAAUCUAAGAGAUUAGACGUUCCCUUCGGGGACAUGGAUACAGGUGGUGCAUGGUUGUCGUCAGCUCGUGUCGUGAGAUGUUGGGUUAAGUCCCGCAACGAGCGCAACCCUUAUUAUCAGUUGCCAGCAUUAAGUUGGGCACUCUGGUGAGACUGCCGGUGACAAACCGGAGGAAGGUGGGGAUGACGUCAAAUCAUCAUGCCCCUUAUGACCUGGGCUACACACGUGCUACAAUGGAUGGUACAACGAGUUGCGAACUCGCGAGAGUAAGCUAAUCUCUUAAAGCCAUUCUCAGUUCGGAUUGUAGGCUGCAACUCGCCUACAUGAAGUCGGAAUCGCUAGUAAUCGCGGAUCAGCAUGCCGCGGUGAAUACGUUCCCGGGCCUUGUACACACCGCCCGUCACACCAUGAGAGUUUGUAACACCCAAAGUCGGUGGGGUAACCUUUUAGGAACCAGCCGCCUAAGGUGACAGA
rnacentral:rRNA from 2 species